AUCACAGGCUCGGAUAUUUUGAGCCAAUGUUAAUGUGUUCAAUAUUAGGAUUGACGAGUGAUAUCUACGUUGAUUAAGCAAAGGUUGAUGGACAAAUGUAGAUGUGUUAGGGUUUCGUAUUGUAUUUUAGACAACAAAUAUAUGACACUUAACUUUUCAAAAAGAUUGCAUAUGAAAUCCAGAAACCAAUGUGGCAAAGAAAGAUUUUUUAGCAGCGUUCCAUUAAUAAUAGUGUGUAAUAGUAAUUAUAAGAUCCAAAUACAUUUAAGAACUAUAAAAGCAGUUAAUGGGUAGACCUUAAAGCGAAGAGGGAGGGAUAAAAGGAUAAAGUGACAAACCUACUUAGUAGUAAAGAAACUCAAAAAAAUGCAAGAGUUGAAGCCGAGGUCAUCAACCCCCUUACACAGUCGUAACCAAGUCCAUGCACAGUAUAAGCACUAUCUCAAAAGCUUCUAGAUAGAUUCAAAUUAUUUUCAUUUUCCAGUGAUCAGUGAUCAGCUGCCAUUUCUGCAAGUGAACAAAAAGUGAAAUCAACUAAGUAAACUGUACAAUAUGAAAAUUAAAAAUAGAGGCUACACACUAAGAUCUAAUGAUAAACGGUAAGAAAAAAAAGAUUAAGAGCCUUCAUUAGAUAAUCAAUAGAAGAAGGAAACGGUAAGUCAUAAGUGCCAUAUAUGCACAUGGACGAUAUGGAUUUCCAAGUUGGAUCAAGAUAACUUAUAUAAUGACUUCAGUACAAGGAUGUUGAGUAAACAAACAUCUAUGAAGCAAGCAUAUAAAGUUAAAAUACAUAAUUACAUCAAAGUUUCUAGCACAUUAAACCUACUAAUUCUUAUAGCAUGAUCAACCACAGUCAUCCAUUUCCAUCCCAACCAUCGUCAAUAAUAUUUACAAGAAUAUUCAAGCGCAGAUUCAUCUACUAAUAACUACCAGAGAAACAUGAACCCAAUUUGAUAACUAAAAAUAGAAACCCAUUCUGAUAAAUGUCGUAUCUGAGUUAUUAAUGGGUUGUAGUCAGAUAAAUAAAAAGCAUGGAAAUAAGAAAAUAAAGACUCACCCAUUUGGCAUAUUGUGCUUCAUCUCUUUCAUGGUAAAGAGACCUGCUGUAGACGAGACCUUAGGUGACAAACUUCGACAUCGAGGAGAAGAUCGCGAGGAUUGCGACUCUUGAUUCAAUUAACAGCGUUAUUCAAACACUGAGUUAAAAAUAACGGUUGAGAUUGUUCUUUAUUCUUUGCCAAAAACCAAAAACCUAGCAACCUAAUAUAUAUUACCUUCUACUAUAGCUUGGGCUUCAGCAAUAUCUAGGGAGAGUAUGACCCUUAUGCCUUUCAGAACCUCAACAGUUCCUGCACUCACGGGCAAAAUGGUCAUGCUCACCACACUCAUAGCAUUUUGAGUCAGAACCAGAAUGACCAUGCCCUCCACCAUAGCCACCACCACCAUUUUCACCCCUAGAAUUUCGAGAAAGCUCUACUCUCCGGCCAUUAUUACCUGUUCCAAUAAGGAUAUGACUUCUGGCAUAUUACAUAAGAAAUUUAACAUCACAAUGUUAAUUGAAGAAAAUUCAACUUAACAAGAUAACAUAUAAAAAAAUUCAGCACUUUUAACACUUUCAUUACAAAAAAAUGAAAAAUAAACAAAUGAAGAAUACAUUCUUCCAUGUGUAUGCAAAUCAAAAUUACUUGCCUGCUCAAGGCGACCUCGCCGGCGGCAGCAGCAGAGUUGAGGACUGGAAGCACAAAAAGUUCAUAAUUAAUUAUAGUAGAGUGGAGGAAAAUGGACAAAACUAUGCAUUGUAGGUAACAUGUGCAGAUUGUCAACUACUACCUUUCUCUCCCUUACCCUCUAGGGCCUCUACUCCAAAUGCAGAAGUUGUAAAUUCUUCAUCCAGUUAUGUCAAAUAAAAGUGGCUUUGAUCUAUUUUAAGUGACAAAAGCUAUUGCAAACAGACAUAAAUACGUUUCAAGCAUUAUGCUUGAGUUCACGAAAUUCCAUCUCAAAAUUGAAAUUUGUUAAAAAA
rnacentral:lncRNA from 1 species